rnacentral:lncRNA from 1 species
ACAGUGAAGUGUACAGAACUCAUAUGUCACCACAGUUGGCGGAGGGAAACCUGGACAGAGGGCAUCUGGCUCUCAGGAGGGACCUAGAUUUUGUGGAGACGCUUCUGGGUUCUCAUUCACUUCUAGGAAUCAGGAGUUUCCUCCUGGCAUGUGCUGGCUUCAGGCACAGCCAGUAUGGCUGUGUCAUCCAUGGGAGGGAUUUUGGAAGUCCCGAGGAGACUGGUGUCAAGAAACAUGACUGACAGUCAAAAACCAGCAAAGAUCCAGGUGACCCUCAAGCCUCCCUCUCCUUCAAAGUGUCCAUGUCAC